UGCCCACCCUCACCCCAAUCUCUGCCACACUCCCCAAAUCUCAAGAAAGCCACCUGGGUGACAGACCAGAGGCUGGGGGUCUCUGGCAGGGCGUGGGGAGACCUAAGUGGGCGCCUCCCCAUCCUGAGGUGGGUAGGGAGCCAAGGGUCACAUCGACAGGUGGGCAAAGCUUUCAUUGUCCCUGCCCCCUACUGCUCCCCCAAAAUGAAGGUGAAGAGAUGACCCACUCCAGCCCCUCGGCACCCCAACAGUGUUCAAGACCCACAGUCUCAGGACCCCAGAUCUGCCCCCAAGAGCUCGCCUCUGGCCCUGCCCACCCUCGCCGCCCUCCACCGCCCCACUGAGAGGGAACCCCCAGGGGCCCAACGGUCCCAACUGCCAGGCUCUGGGUUGCCAUGGCAACAGAGGCUGGCCAGGGAGGGGGAGGUGCUCACUGUUUGUGCUUUGUUCGAUGAUGGGUGGGGGUCAGCAAGGGGGAGUGGCCGUUUCCAUGGAAACAUGGGAGCCCCUCAGGCCAGGGGGUGGGGCAGGAUGGGUAGCCAAGAGGGGUUGGGGGGAAGCCCUCCUUCCUCUGGGCAGGCUAAGAAGCCGCCCCGGGAGCCCACGAGGGGGGUCAGGCAGGCAGGAGGCCAGGAUGUAGGGGCACAGGCAGGAAGGCCCCCAUCACACCCUGCCUCUCUGCUGCCCCCGGGCAUCACAGUUCACUGCCGCCCUUCUGGGAGGAGCAGGGAUCCAGGAGGCCCAGGAGGCUGGGGGCCGAGGUAUGGGGCCUGCACCUGAGACGCGGUGGGAGCUGGCCCAGCCGCUCUCCUCAGACCCCGUCACAGCUCCCAGGCUACUUGGAAGACACUUGAAGGGGGCUGGUGGAAUGUCCCCACGCCUCGGCUCCUUUCCUGUCAGUAGGACCCCCGCCUCUCGUGGGUGCUGGCACGGGGGCGAAGGCCCCACACGACAAAUCACAGCUCCCCGCUUGGGGGCGUGGCCAUGGGGCUUUCUGGAAGGGAAAAGCACCCACCUGCAUCAAGUGCCUCAGCCCCAAGAGACCACGGCUCUGGAAGCCCGCGAACUUCAGAAGAUUCCCGCGAGAGGCUGGAGAGCAGAGCUGCGAGAGGGAGCGCAAGAGACGAGAGUGGGAAGGAAGAGACCCAUCUGUCACCUUGUUCCUGAAAGGCAGCACCAAGAGGGGGUGACAGAUCAGUGCAAAGGCUCAGAGUGGCCCCUCGAAGCUCCAGCACGGGCCCCCAGCCCCUUCUCCACCCACGGGGCGGUCCCCUGUGCCAGGAGCACUCUAGAGUCCCUGUUACAUAAAAGAAGGGAGGACGAUGGGGGGCAAGAGGGGGAGGAGGGGGUGGGGGCCUGGAAGGAGGGAGACUGAAGAAAGGAGGAGGGAGGGGGAGGGGGACGGAGUCUGAGGACGGUGGGCAGAGAAGGGAGCCCAGAGAGUAACAGGUGAGGUCACAGACAGCCUCACACUCAUGCCCCAGCACACUCGUGUCCACACUGGUCCACCUGCCCGCACAAAGACCCACAUGCCCCUACACGAGCCCGAACUCCACGGCACACAGACACAGACAGGUGUACGACAAAUGGGCUUGUACACACAUGGCCACGUACCCGAGCGGGCACCCUCCCGUCCAGAUAAAGAAUUAAGACGCCCAGCAAAAGGCCGCCUCUCCUCCACGCCCCAAGAUAAAUAAUUCAUUUGUUGUGUAA